AUCUCUGCAGGGCAAUUAAUGUCUUGGCUCUUGUAAAAUUGCUCUGGCAGCCACAGAGGGAGCCUGUGGAGUGUAGGCUUCUGACUUGGGUGCUGCAGGGAGACUUGAAAAAUGGUUUUCCUUUGGCUUGAUGGGCCCAAAUCCAACAGUAGUGUCCAGGCAGAGGUGAGCUCAGGGGUACAAUGACUGGAAGGUGUCUAGACACUCCAGAUCUAUAUGCACCAGUUCUGCAGUUUGUUCAUCUAUCAAGAUAUUCUGAACAUGUCUGUCUCCAAGUCCAAGAAUGUAGCCAACUGAAACAAAAAUGUAAGUGCUGAAACCAUAAAAACCACAGAAAACUUAAGAAAGAUUACUGUGAGAAUAUUUCAUCCCCCAUAUAUAGUGUUGACUAGGGAAAGAGCAAAUACCAUUCCACGAAUCCAAAAAGAAAAUGCUGACUGAAUGAAAUUGCAAAACGUUUAUUCUCAUACAGAUGUGCUUUGUUUUAUCUGCUCCACAGAUUUCUUCCCCAUUUUCUACUUGUAGAUCAAAGAUUAUCAAAUAAUAUUGCAUCUUUCAAAACAAAUUUAAAAAUUAAAAGCAAGUGCACAAUAAAAUCAGGUUUUUUGUAUUAUUACUAACAUUAGCAACCCCCUCCAACAAAACAGCUGUUGUCCAAGUCAGUUUUAAAAAUCUCCAGUGAUCCAAAUUAUAGGAAAGACCUUUCAUGUAAGCCUAUUUCAGUGCUUUACUAUCCUUAAAUGCAGAAAACCUCCAAACUACAUUUCCCUUACUGCAAUUUACACCUUUAAUGUUUUUAUUAGCUGAUGGAUAUGACAGCAGUAGUAUUUCCUACAAAAAUAUUU